rnacentral:snRNA from 1 species
AUACUUGCCUGGCAGGGGAGAUGCCAUGAUCAGGAAGGUGGUUUUCCCAGGGCGGAGGCUUACCCAUUGUGCUCUGGAUGUGCUGAACCCUGCGAUUUCCCCAAACGUGGAAGCUCAGCUGUAUAAUUUGUGAUAGUGGGGGACUGUGUUCGAGACUUUCCCCAG